UACAGAGGUCUCGAGCGUUAGGCGGAAUCACUGGGCUUAAAGCGUGUGUAGGCGGGCCCGUAAGUGUCUUGUGAAAUCCCACGGCUCAACCGUGGAACUGCUGGGCAUACUGCGGGUCUUGGGCCAACUAGGGGCAGCCGGAACAAGCGGUGGAGCGGUGAAAUGCGUAGAUAUCGCUUGGAACGCCGAAGGUGAAAACAGGCUGCUGGGGUUGCGCCGACGCUGAGACACGAAAGCCAGGGGAGCAAACGGG
rnacentral:rRNA from 1 species